GAAGUGAUAAUGUGGACAUGAGUAAAAAAUCAUAGGAUCACUCCCCCCCUGGUUUCCCAUAUUAGGUAUGGGGUUAAACAGCCCCUAAAAUUGCAGCCCCAAAGGUUGCGUUAAUGGGGGGCCAUGAGUAAUAGACGCACAAAGUGCCAGGAAAUAAUUAUUCUAGAAUAAUCCUUGUAUUAUUCAAGAGCCAAAGGGGCCGAUGGGGACCAUCUCUCGGCGCCGCACUGUACUAAACUAACUAAAGUGGGGGAUAGUGAGGGGAUAAAUUUCCUUAAGGAACUCGGCAAAAUCCCAAUGGCCCACCAGGGCAUUUAACUUUUGUAGCCAGGUAUCAAGGUACCUUCUACGAAGGUGGGGUCCGGCAGGACCCUACCUCCACCCUAACGGGUGGCGGUUACUUGUAUUGGAACACGGGCCUCGACUGUUUACCAAAAACAUAGCCCUCGGCCAAUAUGAAAAUAGAAGUAUGGAGGGUGAGGCCUGCCCAAUGGUUGUAUCUAAAAGCGGCUGAUGAAAGUCGAUCUCGUAAGGACAAUUGAAUGGCCGCGGUAACACUGACCGUGAUAAUGUAGCGUAAUCAAUAGCCAAUUAAUUGUUGGCCAGUAUGAAUGGCGCCACGAAGGCCCCACUGUCUUAAGGAAAUUCCCAGUGAAAUUGAAUUCGUAGUGAAGAUGCUACGUCCAAUUUGUUAGACGAAAAGACCCCGUUGAGCUUUACUGGGGCACUUACACGGCCCCGGCCUUCGAGACUAGGUUGAUAAGCCAGGCUUACCAUACCUAGGGACCGGCCGAAUUUUAAUGGGCGGCUUAGACUAUGUGGCAGCCCCCCCCGUCGGGGCAGAUGAAACCCCACUCCCCCAUGUCAAAGGGGCUAACCCCCCCUUGGGGGGGGGACAAUGUAAGUAGGACAGUUUGGUUGGGGCGACCGCCUUUUAGAGAGUAACGAAGGUGCGCUUAAGGUGCGCAAUUAAUGACUGAAGCCUGACUGCGAGGGGGACACCCCGAGCAGACACCCCCAAGCCCGCCCGCCCAUAAGGCUAUGCAACCCCCGUAGGGGGUUCCUUUAGCCUUCUGGGAGGGCGGCGGUGGGGUGGGCCAUAGUGACCCGUUAAUUUAGAGUGGAAUAGUUAACGAUCAACGAAUAAAAGUUACCACGGGGAUAACAGCGUAAU
rnacentral:rRNA from 1 species